AUUGCGANGGCAGCUUGCUGGACUGUAACUGACGCUGAGGCACGAAAGCGUGGGGAUCAAACAGGAUUAGAUACCCNGGUANNCCACGCCNUAAACGAUGANUGCUAGCUGUUAGCGAUAUACUGUUAGCGGCACAGAGAAAUCGUUAAGCAUUCCACCUGGGGAGUACGCCGGCAACGGUGAAACUCAAAGGAAUUGACGGGGGCCCGCACAAGCGGAGGAACAUGUGGUUUAAUUCGAUGAUACGCGAGGAACCUUACCUGGGCUUAAAUUGCAGUGGAAUAACGUGGAAACAUGUUAGCCUUCGGGCCGCUGUGAAGGUGCUGCAUGGUUGUCGUCAGCUCGUGCCGUGAGGUGCCGGCUUAAGUGCCAUAACGAGCGCAACCCUCAUCGAUAGUUACUAACAGGUUAAGCUGAGGACUCUAUCGAGACUGCCGACGUAAGUCGUGAGGAAGGUGGGGAUGACGUCAAAUCAGCACGGCCCUUACGUCCAGGGCUACACACGUGUUACAAUGGGGGGUACAAAGGGCAGCUACCUGGCGACAGGAUGCUAAUCUCAAAAACCUCUCUCAGUUCGGAUUGGAGUCUGCAACCCGACUCCAUGAAGCUGGAUUCGCUAGUAAUCGCGCAUCAGCCACGGCGCGGUGAAUACGUUCCCGGGCCUUGUACACACCGCCCGUCAAGCCAUGGGAGCCGGGGGGACCUGAAGUAUGCAACCGUAAGGAGCGUCCUAGGGUAAAACUGGUGACUGGGGCUAAGUCGUAACAGGUAGCCGU
rnacentral:rRNA from 1 species